AAAGCUCUUUUGUCAGGGAAGAAACGGGUGGGGCUAAUAUCCCUAUCUAAUGACGGUACCUGAAGAAUAAGCACCGGCUAACUACGUGCCAGCAGCCGCGGUAAUACGUAGGGUGCAAGCGUUAAUCGGAAUUACUGGGCGUAAAGCGUGCGCAGGCGGUUUUGUAAGUCUGUCGUGAAAUCCCCGGGCUCAACCUGGGAAUGGCGAUGGAGACUGCAAGGCUAGAGUUUGGCAGAGGGGGGUAGAAUUCCACGUGUAGCAGUGAAAUGCGUAGAGAUGUGGAGGAACACCGAUGGCGAAGGCAGCCCCCUGGGUCAAAACUGACGCUCAUGCACGAAAGCGUGGGGAGCAAAC
rnacentral:rRNA from 1 species